rnacentral:lncRNA from 1 species
ACUAAACAAGCUCCCAGAGACAGUGCUGUCCCUGAGAUUGCAAAUUAAGGAGUUAGAAAUCAAAAGAAGAUAAAGAAGGCUUGUGACAUCGGUAAUAUUAUAAAUGGCCAUUCUGGACUGCUUUAAAGUCAGAGGACCUUUUGAUGCCCCAGCCCCCAUAAUGGGUUUGAGCCUCACAUCUGCUAAACAAGUGCUGUACCCCUGUGCUGACUGGCGUUCUGUCAACUUGACAGAAGGUAAGAGUCAUCAGAGAGGAAGCCUCAAUAAAUGUGCCUCCAUGAGAUCCCACUGCGGGCAAAACCGUGUUGCAUUUUUAAAUUAGCGAUUGAUGGAGGAGGGCCCAGCCCAUUGUGGGUGAUGACACGUCUGGUCUGGUAGUCCUAUAAGAAAGCUGGUAAUUCUAUAAGAAAGUAGGUUGAGGAGACAAUGACGAGAAAGCCAGUAAGCAGCACCCCUCCGUGGCCUUUUCAUCAGCUCCUGCCUCCAGGUCCCCAAGUUGCUUGAGUUCCU